rnacentral:hammerhead_ribozyme from 1 species
GCACUGCUGACGAGUCCCACAAUAGGACGAAACGGCCGUCCAGUAC